CGUCUUUUAAAAUCGUCUAUAUAAUAUUUUUUAUCCAAACGUUAAAAAAAAACCAGCUGGCUGCAAACAAUCUUUGACUCGCAUCGCAUGACUUUCAAAAUCCGUUUAAGAAGUAAAUUUCUCUUGAUUCGCAUCAAUAUAAUAUGUUCAUCUAAACUAUUAAAACAGAAGUACAAUUAGGACUUAACCCUGAUUUUUCCUUAAUAAUUACUAACUUGUGCCACUGGAAUUAAAGUUAAACCUAAAGUCUUAACUCAUUAAGGUUGUUUUAGUCUUUUUCUUACAUUAACCUAAUUUUUGUUAUUUGAUUGAUUUAAUUUUAACCUUUUUGGCGACAAAGAUAACGAGGGAUGAAUGCCGGGGACAAUGACGAAGGUGUAAAUUCCUCUUAGCGGUGUUGUUCUUUUUAUCAACGUACGGUGGAUAGCACGAGGCAGAGCGAGAAACCUUCCUGUAUUAUUUCCCAUCGAAGCUCCGUAGAUCUCACAGUGUGAUCAUCUUUGUAACACUCCAUGUAAGAGGUUUAUGCGUAAAGGACAUUUGUAUCCACCUGUGCCGUCUGAGGAAGGAGAAGUUCAUGGAAAAGUUUGAUUUUUUAAUCAUUUUAGGAAGGAGAUGUUGUUGAGGGUAAUGAAUAUGAGAGAGUGACAGUUGGUGUUGAAUACGAGGACAAUUCUGACAACAUGGCUGUGAAAACAUAUAAAUGGAUCAAUAACGAUUAUAUCAAAGGAGAGUUGGAUUUCCAGAUUUGACCUUUUUGUUAACUCAUAAUUGGUAAGAAAUGAGGCUUGAUUCUCGUGUUUGAUCGUGGUGUGGUGUCUUUUGGAUUUUUGUUUCUUUUGGUUAGGAAUGCAUGAAGAAACUUAUAGAUAUGUUCAAAGAAAUCAUGGAGUCGAAGAGAAAUCGUGGAGAGAAGGGAAGGUGUGACUAUAACCAUGUCCUAACCGAAGAAAAUAUGUGUUAAAAGGAUGUUGUCAUUUUCUCACUUAAUUUAUGAGUAUAAUAAAACCUAGAGAAUGAAAGUAUUGUGGAGAUCAAUGAAAAGAGUAGUAAUCAUACGUUG